CAAAGUCUUAUCGGUUAACGGUUAAACAGUUAGUCGUAUGCAUCCCUAAUUGUCAGUGACAAAGUAACUUACAGUAACUGGAUGCAGAUCAGUACAGAACAUCGUGGUGGCUUUCAGCAGCUGUCUGCAGACGUCUGUCCCUCUGCUCUGCCCAGUCCUAUUGUGGACGCAACUUUUUUAAAAAUGUGCUCCAUUUCAGAAACCCUCUGCUCCCAUGGUCUGUUCCUGUCUGAUAAAGCAUGAAUGGUCCAAAAAUUAAUUUGGCUCAACAGUGCUAAACAUUUUUCAAACUUUUUCUGUGUUUUGCAGGCUCCAAACCUGUUAUUCACGCCGCCUUAAGAAACUCGAAGCACAUCAUGAGGCGUGUGAGAGGCGCUACGAGAAGGCUCAGACAGAAGACUGAAUGAUGAGAGAGAAAGGACCUUGUUGGAUGGUAGACUCAACACAGUGAUGGAAGAUGAAAUAGAGGUUCCACCCUUAACAAGAACAGACAGUGUAUUUCUGACCAAAGAAAUGCUUGGACACACCGUCGAUUUGUCACCUUCCACUAUCGGCAGUAUGGAUGAGUAUGUCCCAGAAACAUCAGAGGCUAGUUCAGAUGAAUCAUUAGAAGAAAGAAGUCAGAAGCAAAGACCAAAGAUGGCAUCAGAAUCAAAAAAUGGCUCAGAUGUGUUAUUAGGAGCAAAGAAAGAGAAGCAAGGCCUAGAAGCAAGUGCUCAUUCCAGAGAAGAUUCAAAUGAACCGAGACUCAAAACAGGGACAGAAGUAAAGAGGAUCUUUUUUUCUAGUGACGAAGAAGAUUCUGUUAAAUCAAGACUCAAAACAAGAAACAAAACAAGAGACGUUACAAGAGAUGCUCAAGCUCUAGUGAAGAAGAGCAUUCAGGUGAAUCAAGACUCAAAACCAAGAGGUACAAAAAGAGAAAGAAAGAUAUAAAGACUUACACAAGAUGUAAAAAAUCUUCUAUCUCUAGCUCAGUUGAGAAGAGUAGUUCUCUGGUGGUAGCUGAUGUUAUAAAUGUGGAUGGGUGCAAGAAGUACCACCAAAAAGAAAAACUACUGCCUAUACUGUGAGGAAACCGCAAACAAAAAUUGCACGCCACCUGGAACGAAACAUGGGGAUAAAAGGGAAGUUGCUUGUGCAGUAAUGUAUCCACCGAAAUCUAAAAAAAGGAGAAAUCUGCUGGAUCUCCUUCGUAAGCAAGGAAAUAGGGCACACAACAUUGAGGCACUCACAAAGGAGAAGGGACACUGGUAGCUUGUAAACAGCAAAGCGAUGCAAAGAGCAAUCCAAAGGACUAUCAGCAUUGUUUGCAUGCUUUGGGUACUUCAGCGCAAAUAUCUGUGGAAGCAUGCAAACGGUGCACACUUGCUCAAAAUGUUCGCAGAAACAUUACCUGGAAAAAGAAGAAUACAGACACUCUGUGCUUCUGCUCAGCCUGUACCUAAAGAUGUUCACACGAAGGUAUGGGCCCUUGUGAAUGGCAUGACUCAAGACGAAAUUGCCUAUGCAGUAAAAGAAGACGUCUAUAUCAUGAAGGUAGGGAGAGAAGAUGUAUAACCGGCAACGUGAAACAGCUUCUCAACAUGACAAUGUUCGUCAAAUUAUGCGAGGACUGGGUAGACUCUUGAUCAUAGGAAGGACGGUGACCCCUCUGAGAACAAUGGAGGAAUAUAUUAAUCCACAAAACUUUCACCAUGUGAUUCGAGCUGUCAAAGACGUAGCUGGCUUUUGAUGAAAAGAGGAACAAGUUUGGGAAACCCACUCUAGCCACAAAGCUAGGGCAGCAUCCAGAGAGUUGCCGAUAUCAUGGAGGCUGAAGCUCUUUCAUCUCAGACAAUGAAAAGAAGCAGGUUGUCCAAGUUUAGGCGCUUGUACAAUCUACCUGGAAUGAGAUGAUCUCUUCUCGCUGCGUACCGUACACUUGAGGAGAAGAAAUGGAACAAACCCAAGCUCAUUCCAUUGGCAGAGGAUGUGAAAAAAAAUGCAUAUGUACAUGACUGACAACAGAAGCAAUACUACAAGCAGUUGUUGGUUGAGAAAAUCCCAAGAAUUGGAGCAAUCUUGCUAAAGUAAUAUUGGCACAGAUAAUCCUUUUCAACCGAAGGCGAGGAAGGCGAGGUCUCAAAGAUGCGUUUAGACGCAUUCUCACCAGGGACAACUCCCCAUUUAAUGAAGAUAUUGGUGAAGCACUGACGGCAUUGGAGAAGAGGCUCUGCCAGCAUUUUGAACGUGUGAAUUCGAGGGAAGCGUGGCAGAAAGGUGCCUAUCAUCCUUACUCCAGUAAUGGUGAAAUCUCUGGAGCUAAUGGUGGAGGAGAGAAGCUCAUGUGGAAUAGGUGAAACAUCUAUUUAUUUGCAAGACCAGGUUUUGAAACAAGGCUUCGGGGGUCUGACUGCAUCCGUGAGUUGGCCAGAAAGUGUGGGGCCGAAAAACCUGAAGCUCUGUCAUCAACAAACUAAGAAAACAAGUGGCCACUCUAUCAAGAGUACUCAAUCUGAAUGACACCGAACAAGAUCUUUUGGCAGACUUUCUGGGCAUGACAUAAGGGUACACAGGAAGUUCUAUCGCCUCCCCGAAGGGACUUUGCAGUUAGCUAAGAUCAGUAAGGUAUUGAUGGCCUGUGAACAGGGCAGACUGGCAGAAUUCAAGGGGAAAAGUCUGGACCAAAUCUCGAUCAGCCCAAACGACCCAUCUGAAGUUGUGGAGAAAAGCUCAGGGGAGUCAUCUGAAGAUGCAGCUCCAACUGCUCCGCCAGGAGACGAACCUGUGACUCGAGGCGAACAGGGCACUUCAGUGCAGGAGCUUGUAGGGGAACAAAGCUCAGGAGGUAAGCGUGGUACAGCUUUUACUUUUCCCACCAAAUUAUGUACAUUUGUGUCAGCAACUCAGAGCUGUUCCUAUACACUGUAUAUUUCUUCUUCUUCUUUUCCUUUCGGCUCUUCCCUUCAGGGGUCGCCACAGCGAAUCAAUUCCCUCCAUCUAACCCUGUCUGCUGCCUCCUCUUCUCUCACACCAACUACCUUCAUGUCCUCUUUAACCACAUCCAUAAACCUCCUCUUUGGUCUUCCUCUAGGCCUCCUGCCUGGCAGUGGGAAACUCAGCAUCCUUCUACCAAUAUAUUCACUCUCUCU